AUGCUUGGCCUCAGGCACGGAUUAUGGUUGAUACACUUGCAAGCAACUUCAAACACCUUCAGCAUUUGCUCUUCAUGCCCUUGUUCUCUCAGCGCUGGAUCCAAGACUUCAGUAUGCUUUCCCUGGGACGUCAUCUCCCGUACCCACUGGACAAGUUCCUUCGACUUGGACAGGACCUCGACGGGCCUUUUCCCUGUGAGCAGCUCAAGCAACACCACUCCAAAACUGUAUAUGUCUCCCCUCAGUGUGGCCACCCAUGCGUGCCCGUACUCGGGAGGAAUAUAA
rnacentral:rRNA from 1 species